UUGAAAAGCACCGGAAGACUGCCCUUAUCCAUUGAGCGAGCUAAAUGGGCAAACAUGUCAAAUUUAAUAAUGAAUUUUAUUCUAGGAAGUUUUCUUAAUUGGGAGAUCUAAAAGUGAAAAAAAAAAAUAUUUAUUCAAUCAAAUAAACUAAACAUAGGACUUUUUUAAAGUGAUCAAUAAAUUUCAAUUUGUUAUAAGCUUAAGAGAAAAAAUAUGUCUCAAAUUAUUAAGUUUGUUUAUUUCACCCUCCUCUUUAUUUCCUUGCUGCUUGUUGUAACUCAAGUUGAUGCACAGAGUUCGCCGGAUUGCGAGAAGGAUUCUGAUUGUCCACCCUUGUUGUGUCCAGAUUCUUAUGUUGCAAAAUGCAUUGCUUUUAUGUGUAUUUGUCUUUCAUUUUCACAAUGAUAUUGUAAUCUCAACGGAUAUAUAGUUCAAAUAUCAUAUCAUAUACAUGAGACAAUUGUAAAAAACUAAAAUAUAUAGUCAUUAGAUACAUUUUUUUUUA